rnacentral:tRNA from 1 species
GCGGAUAUGGUGGAAUUGGUAGACACGUUGGUCUUAGGAUCCAAUGAAAUUUUUCGUGAGGGUUCAAGUCCCUCUAUCCGUA